rnacentral:rRNA from 1 species
AGCGAACGCUGGCGGCAGGCUUAACACAUGCAAGUCGAGCGCCCCGCAAGGGGCGCGGCAGACGGGAGAGUAACACGUGGGAACAUACCUUUUGGUUCGUAACAACUCAGGGAAACUUCAGCUAAUACCGGAUAAGCCCUCACGUGGAAAGAUUUAUCUCCAAAAGAUUGGCUCACUUCUGAUUAGCUAUUUGGUGAGGUAACGUCUCACCAAGGCGACGAUCAUUAGCUGUUCUUAGAGUAUGAGCAUCCACACUGAGACUGGGACACAGCCCAGACUCCUACGGGAGGCAGCAGUGGGGGAUAUUGGAAAAUGGGGGGAACCAUGAUCCAGCCAUGCCGGGUGAGUGAUGAAAGCAGUAGGGUAGUAAAGCUCUUUUGACCGGGAAGAUAAUGACGGUACCGAAAGAAUAAGCCCCGGCUAACUUCGUG